rnacentral:lncRNA from 1 species
UAAGAGCUUACCCCCCCCCCUCAAACUCGUCUCUCUCAAUUCCCCAUUCUCAGAGACCACAGCCCCAAAACCCUAGCGCUGCCUCAAUUUUCCACCACCCAAGUCGGCGGCACUGCCUCAGAUCAGUCCCAAAUUAACACCCCAGAAUCCCUAUAGUUCCCUCGUACCAAAUCUCUAAUUACGUUUCCUUGAAUAUGCCCAGAACUUCUCGAAUCUUACAUCCGAGUUCGAACCCUAAAAGUCUAAGAUCAUUUUCCAUCGAACCCGGUGGCAUGCAUGGUCAUAGGGUGUUGUUUCUUUCAAGCUUUGAAGUUUUGAUUCAACAAAAACUGAUGUCGUUCAGUUGUUCUUGACAAAGAACAAAUGAUCGACAUUAGUUUUGUUAAGUCAUUUGUCUCCGGUAGGUUCUGAUUUCUGAUUUGAUAAGUUCCCUUCACACUUUUUGUCCUUUCUUGUCACUAUCUUAUUUUUCUUCUCCUUCCCCUUUCUUUAGUUAGUUUGCUUCUACUAAUAUAGCUGAAACUCGACCAAUCCUCUGAGUUUAAAUUGUCUCCUGUUCGUUUUUCCCUUUGUGAAAGCUUGUUCUCUAAUUUUUCUUAGUCCGUUAAGUUUUUGUUAUUAGCCUAAUUAAAGUUCUGAUUUCAUUUCUCGUUUAGUCACCUAGUUUAAUUUAAUUAGGUUAUUUUGAUAAGUUAGUCAAUUUUCUGCUUACUUGUGUUUAGUAAUCGUUCAAUUAGUGUAUGUUUGGUUUUUGAAAUUAUUCAAGUAUUCUCCCUCUAUUUGUUUACUGUUUUGAUUUAGUUUCAUUUUACUGUUUGGGCUUUGAAGCUAUUUCAGAUCUCACUCUAAGGGGUUGAUUUAGGUUAUUGGGUCAGAAUUGAGCACAUAUUUGGUUUAACUAUUGGGUCAAUUUGACCCAUGACCCAUGAGAUUUCUGGGGUAAUUAACAGGGCUUAAAGGGGUAAUUCAGGAACUCUAGGAGAAAGAAUCUCUGGUAACCAACUUAGAAAGCUUCCUAGAAGCUGGGGUUGAGGCUUAAAUGAAAAUAUGAUUUUUACACUAAGAGUAUCUAAGCAAAAAAUAAAAAUUUGAAAAGGUUUUAGGUGCAAAAACUUAGCUCAUCUCUGCAGCCCUAGAAGCUUGCAUAUAAAGGCAUCCUUACUUGAGGUUCAAGGCAGAGAUUAGAGAUAAAAAACUCCUAAAAACUGAAACGGCUAGCACUGUGAAAUAUCCCUAAAUUCCCUGCAUUUCCUUGUUGAAAACUACUCAAAUUUUGCUCGGUAUUUUUUGGUUUCUGAACCUCAUUGCUUGGUUAAAACUAUUGAAAAUGACAAAGUCUUGCAUUUGGGUCGAAGUGGAUUGAGUUUUGGAUCUUUAAAGUUUGGGUUUAAGCUGGUUUCACUACUGUUUCCAUUGCUGGUUUUAAAGUUGAUUUUUGUUAUUCCCUUUCAUUGGUCUACUGCUGUUAUUGUUUCUUCCUGAUUCUCCAGCUUGAUUUUCUUGUUUUGUCUCGCUAUAUUCAGGUACUUACUCCUGAGCUCUGCUGAAUGUGAAGUCAGAUUCAAAGCAUGAAAUGGAAAUGGAAUUUAGAGCAUAGUUUCAACUAGUCGUUAUAAUUUAGUUGUAUUAUAUUGUGCUUUGAUUCACUUUGCCUUUUAGUUAAUUUCUGGUCUUUGAUAACUGAACUUCAUCCCUGUAUUUAAUUUUAGGACUGUUAAAAAAAUUGCUAUAGUAGAAGGUUCAGUCAAGUUAUAGGUGUUAUAUUUGCAUUUAAGUUCUGAUGGAAACAAUGAAUAAAUGCUUGCCUUCACGGUUUUAGAUGAACUAGUACUCUAUUUGUGUAAAUAUGCCAUCCUUAGUAGGUUUUGCUCAAGUGAACUGAGAUACUAUCCUUAUGAAUGAGGUGUGAGUUCAGC